UACGUAGGGGGCAAGCGUUGUCCGGAUUUAUUGGGCGUAAAGAGCGUGUAGGCGGCCAUACAGGUCCGUUGUGAAAACUCGAGGCUCAACCUCGAGACGUCGAUGGAAACCGUAUGGCUAGAGUACGGAAGAGGCGAGUGGAAUUCCUGGUGUAGCGGUGAAAUGCGCAGAUAUCAGGAGGAACACCAAUUGCGAAGGCAGCUCGCUGGGACGUUACUGACGCUGAGACGCGAAAGCGUGGGGAGCAAACAGG
rnacentral:rRNA from 1 species